UAACGCGUGGGAACCUGCCUUAGGUUCGGAAUAAACUCAGAGAAAUUGAGCUAAUACCGGAUGAUGUCUUCGGACCAAAGAUUAUCGCCUUAGAUGGGCCCGCGUAAGAUUAGCUAGUUGGUGGGGUAAAGGCCUACCAAGGCGACGAUCUUUAGCUGGUCUGAGAGGAUGAUCAGCCACACUGGGACUGAGACACGGCCCAGACUCCUACGGGAGGCAGCAGUGGGGAAUAUUGGACAAUGGGCGAAAGCCUGAUCCAGCAAUGCCGCGUGAGUGAUGAAGGCCUUAGGGUUGUAAAGCUCUUUUACCCGAGAUGAUAAUGACAGUAUCGGGAGAAUAAGCUCCGGCUAACUCCGUG
rnacentral:rRNA from 1 species